CGGUACGUACUGGCAUUGUUGGUUUCUCCCUUCUGACGAACCAUGAUGUCAUUUAUUUGGUGUUGUGGGGAAUCAGGACUGUUACUUUGAAAAAAUUAGAGUGUUUAAAGCAGGCUCACGCUUGAAUACAUUAGCAUGGAAUAAUGAAAUAGGACGUUUGAUUCUAUUUUGUUGGUUUCUAGGAUCGACGUAAUGAUUAAUAGGGAUAAUUGGGGGCAUUAGUAUUCAAUUGUCAGAGGUGAAAUUCUUGGAUUUAUUGAAGACUAACUACUGCGAAAGCAUUUGCCAAGGAUGUUUUCAUUAAUCAAGAACGAAAGUUAGGGGAUCGAAGACGAUCAGAUACCGUCGUAGUCUUAACCAUAAACUAUGCCGACUAGGGAUCGGAUGAUGUUAAUUUUUUAAUGACUCAUUCGGCGCCUUACG
rnacentral:rRNA from 1 species